UGGGUAACCUGCCUGUAAGACUGGGAUAACUCCGGGAAACCGGAGCUAAUACCGGAUAGUUCCUUGAACCGCAUGGUUCAAGGAUGAAAGACGGUUUCGGCUGUCACUUACAGAUGGACCCGCGGCGCAUUAGCUAGUUGGUGAGGUAACGGCUCACCAAGGCGACGAUGCGUAGCCGACCUGAGAGGGUGAUCGGCCACACUGGGACUGAGACACGGCCCAGACUCCUACGGGAGGCAGCAGUAGGGAAUCUUCCGCAAUGGACGAAAGUCUGACGGAGCAACGCCGCGUGAGUGAUGAAGGUUUUCGGAUCGUAAAGCUCUGUUGUUAGGGAAGAACAAGUGCAAGAGUAACUGCUUGCACCUUGACGGUACCUAACCAGAAAGCCACGGCUAACUACGUGCCAGCAGCCGCGGUAAUACGUAGGUGGCAAGCGUUGUCCGGAAAUAUUGGGCGUAAAGGGCUCGCAGGCGGUUUCUUAAGUCUGAUGUGAAAGCCCCCGGCUCAACCGGGGAGGGUCAUUGGAAACUGGGAAACUUGAGUGCAGAAGAGGAGAGUGGAAUUCCACGUGUAGCGGUGAAAUGCGUAGAGAUGUGGAGGAACACCAGUGGCGAAGGCGACUCUCUGGUCUGUAACUGACGCUGAGGAGCGAAAGCGUGGG
rnacentral:rRNA from 1 species